GAUGAACGCUGGCGGCGUGCCUAAUGCAUGCAAGUCGAGCGAACGGAUAAGGAGCUUGCUCCUUUGAAGUUAGCGGCGGGCGGGUGAGUAACACGUGGGUAACCUACCUAUAGGACUGGAAUAACUUCGGGAAACCGGAGCUAAUGCCGGAUAACAUUUGGAACCGCAUGGUUCUAAAGUAAAAGAUGGUUUUGCUAUCACUUAUAGAUGGACCCGUGCCGUAUUAGCUAGUUGGUAAGGUAACGGCUUACCAAGGCAACGAUACGUAGCCGACCUGAGAGGGUGAUCGGCCACACUGGAGCUGAGACACGGUCCAG
rnacentral:rRNA from 1 species